UCNUUCCUCAGCGUCAGUNUUUGUCCAGAAAGCNGCCUUCGCCACUGGUGUUCCUCCUAAUAUCUACGCAUUUCACCGCUACACUAGGAAUUCCGCUUUCCUCUCCAACACUCAAGUCCCCCAGUUUCAAAAGCUUACAAUGGUUGAGCCACUGCCUUUCACUUCUGACUUAAAGGACCGCCUACGAACUCUUUACGCCCAAUAAUUCCGGAUAACGCUUGUCCCAUACGUAUUACCGCGGCUGCUGGCACGUAUUUAGCCGGGACUUUCUUCUUAGGUACCGUCAUUAUCUUCCCUAAGAACAGAACUUUACGACUCGAAAGCCUUCAUCAUUCACGCGGCAUCGCUGCAUCAGGGUUUCCCCCAUUKKKCAAUAUCCCCCACUGCUGMCUCCCGUAGA
rnacentral:rRNA from 1 species